rnacentral:ribozyme from 14 species
ACAAAACAAAAAACAAUAACAAAAAAAAAAAAAAAAAAAAAAAAAUGUUA